GUCCCUUCGGGGACAUCCGAUAAAAUUGGAAUGAUACAGAGAAGAUUAGCAUGACCCCUGCGCAAGGAUGACACGCAAGAAUUUUAAAAAAAAAUAAAAACUCCUU